rnacentral:rRNA from 1 species
GAUGAACGCUGGCGGCGUGCCUAAUACAUGCAAGUCGAGCGGACGGACGAGAAGCUGGUUUCUCUGGUGUUAGCGGGGGACGGGUGAGUAACGCGUGGAUAACCUACCUAUAUGACUGGUAGCACUUCGGGAAGGCGGAUCUAAUACCGUAUAAUAUUUUGAUCCGCAGGGUGAAAAAGUGAAAGACGGUGUUGAUGUCACUUAUAGCGGGAUCCGCGCUGCAUUGGCAAGUUGGUAAGGUAACGGCUUACCAAAGCAACGAUGCAUAGCCGACCUCAGAGGGUGAUCGGCCAGACUGGAACUGAGACACGGCCCAGACUCCUACGCGAGGCAGCAGCACGGACUCCUACGCGAUGGACGAAUGCCUGAUGGAGCACCACCGAGUGAGUGAUGAAGGUCUUCUGACGGGAAAACUAUGUUAGUAGGCAAGAACAUAUGUGUAAGUAACUGUGCACAUCUUGACGGUACCUAAUCAGAAAGCUCCGGCUAACUACGUG